rnacentral:rRNA from 1 species
UUCGGGUGAAAAGCCCGCUCGCCGGAAGACCAAGGGUUCCUGUCCAACGUUAAUCGGGGCAGGGUGAGUCGACCCCUAAGGCGAGGCCGAAAGGCGUAGUCGAUGGGAAACAGGUUAAUAUUCCUGUACUUGGUGUUACUGCGAAGGGGGGACGGAGAAGGCUAUGUUGGCCGGGCGACGGUUGUCCCGGUUUAAGCGUGUAGGCUGGUUUUCCAGGCAAAUCCGGAAAAUCAAGGCUGAGGCGUGAUGACGAGGCACUACGGUGCUGAAGCAACAAAUGCCCUGCUUCCAGGAAAAGCCUCUAAGCAUCAGGUAACAUCAAAUCGUACCCCAAACCGACACAGGUGGUCAGGUAGAGAAUACCAAGGCGCUUGAGAGAACUCGGGUGAAGGAACUAGGCAAAAUGGUGCCGUAACUUCGGGAGAAGGCACGCUGAUAUGUAGGUGAAGCGACUUGCUCGUGGAGCUGAAAUCAGUCGAAGAUACCAGCUGGCUGCAACUGUUUAUUAAAAACACAGCACUGUGCAAACACGAAAGUGGACGUAUACGGUGUGACGCCUGCCCGGUGCCGGAAGGUUAAUUGAUGGGGUCAGCGCAAGCGAAGCUCUUGAUCGAAGCCCCGGUAAACGGCGGCCGUAACGAUAACGGUCCUAAGGUAGCGAAAUUCCUUGUCGGGUAAGUUCCGACCUGCACGAAUGGCGUAAUGAUGGCCAGGCUGUCUCCACCCGAGACUCAGUGAAAUUGAACUCGCUGUGAAGAUGCAGUGUACCCGCGGCAAGACGGAAAGACCCCGUGAACCUUUACUAUAGCUUGACACUGAACAUUGAGCCUUGAUGUGUAGGAUAGGUGGGAGGCUUUGAAGUGUGGACGCCAGUCUGCAUGGAGCCGACCUUGAAAUACCACCCUUUAAUGUUUGAUGUUCUAACGUGGACCCGUGAUCCGGGUUGCGGACAGUGUCUGGUGGGUAGUUUGACUGGGGCGGUCUCCUCCUAAAGAGUAACGGAGGAGCACGAAGGUUGGCUAAUCCUGGUCGGACAUCAGGAGGUUAGUGCAAUGGCAUAAGCCAGCUUGACUGCGAGCGUGACGGCGCGAGCAGGUGCGAAAGCAGGUCAUAGUGAUCCGGUGGUUCUGAAUGGAAGGGCCAUCGCUCAACGGAUAAAAGGUACUCCGGGGAUAACAGGCUGAUACCGCCCAAGAGUUCAUAUCGACGGCGGUGUUUGGCACCUCGAUGUCGGCUCAUCACAUCCUGGAGCUGAAGUAGGUCCCAAGGGUAUGGCUGUUCGCCAUUUAAAGUGGUACGCGAGCUGGGUUUAGAACGUCGUGAGACAGUUCGGUCCCUAUCUGCCGUGGGCGCUGGAGAACUGAGGGGGGCUGCUCCUAGUACGAGAGGACCGGAGUGGACGCAUCACUGGUGUUCGGGUUGUCAUGCCAAUGGCACUGCCCGGUAGCUAAAUGCGGAAGAGAUAAGUGCUGAAAGCAUCUAAGCACGAAACUUGCCCCGAGAUGAGUUCUCCCUGACUCCUUGAGAGUCCUGAAGGAACGUUGAAGACGACGACGUUGAUAGGCCGGGUGUGUAAGCGCAGCGAUGCGUUGAGCUAACCGGUACUAAUGAACC